rnacentral:rRNA from 1 species
CCCGCACAAGCGGUGGAGCAUGUGGUUUAAUUCGACGAUACGCGAAGAACCUUACCUGGCCUUGACAUAGAGAGAAUCUUUUAGAGAUAGAAGAGUGCUAGUUUACUAGAACUUUCAUACAGGUGCUGCACGGCUGUCGUCAGCUCGUGUCGUGAGAUGUUGGGUUAAGUCCCGCAACGAGCGCAACCCUCGUGUUUAGUUACUAACAGUUCGGCUGAGGACUCUAAACAGACUGCCUGGGUAACCAGGAGGAAGGUGAGGACGACGUCAAGUCAUCAUGGCCCUUACGGCCAGGGCUACACACGUGCUACAAUGGGGUAUACAAAGAGCAGCAAUACGGUGACGUGGAGCAAAUCUCAUAAAAUAUCUCCCAGUUCGGAUUGAAGUCUGCAACUCGACUUCAUGAAGUUGGAAUCGCUAGUAAUCGUAGAUCAGCAAUGCUACGGUGAAUACGUUCCCGGGUCUUGUACUCACCGCCCGUCACACCAUGGGAAUUGAAUUCAUUCGAAGCGGGGAUGCUAAAAUAGCUACCUUCCACAGUGGAUUUAGUAACUAGGGUGAAGUCGUAACAAGGUA